rnacentral:rRNA from 1 species
UACGGAGGGUGCAAGCGUUAUCCGGAUUUAUUGGGUUUAAAGGGUCCGUCGGCGGGCUAAUAAGUCAGUGGUGAAAUCUCAUAGCUUAACUAUGAAACUGCCAUUGAUACUGUUAGUCUUGAGUAUAGUUGAGGUAGCUGGAAUGAGUAGUGUAGCGGUGAAAUGCAUAGAUAUUACGUAGAACACCAAUUGCGAAGGCAGGUUACCAAGUUAUAACUGACGCUGAGGGACGAAAGCGUGGGGAGCGAACAGG